rnacentral:lncRNA from 1 species
CCUCGCUGCACUCAUGGCUUCUCCUAGCAAGGCAGUGAUUGUUCCCGGGAACGGAGGCGGGGAUGUGACCACCCACGGCUGGUAUGGCUGGGUGAAAAAGGAGCUGGAGAAGUUACAGCACGAGAGAGCAUCUGGCUGCCCUUCAUGGAGACAGAGCUGCACUGUGAUGAGAAGACUAUCAUCAUUGGCCACAGUUCUGGGGCCAUCGCGGCCAUGAGGAUACUUCACCCGCCCCUGGCAGUGGGAGAAGAUCAAGGCCAACUGCCCUUACAUUGUGCAGUUUGGCUCUACUGACGACCCGUUCCUUCCCUGGAAGGAACAACAAGAAGUGGCCGAUAGGUUGGAAACCAAAUUGCACAAAUUCACUGACUGUGGCCACUUUCAGAACACAGAGUUUCAUGAACUGAUUACUGUUGUAAAGUCUUUGCUGAAAGUACCAGCAUAGACUGUAUGAUUUCUGCUAUUUUGCAUCCCAAUAUAGGAGUAGAAUAAUAUCUACUAUCAGCUGAUUACUAGACACAUAGAACAUCCAGUUAAGUUCCGUAAGUGCCUGAAAAACAAACACAAGUUUCAACAUUCAAUCUAAGUUACAAAUAGCACUUCCAUUUUCCAUAGACUCUAAAACUCCCCAAAUUGCUAUGAACUACCACAGUAUUUUCCUCAUUUGAUAAGAAACAUAAGGACAGCUUAACUACCCUUCUCUAUCCGAAGUGAGUCAGAAACAGAACCCAGGUUUCUUGAUUCCCACUCCUGAGUAAAAUUAAAUAGGUUUUAUGUAUGUUGCAGGUAUUGCACACUUUUCCUCUUUGAAAUCAAACUUUUCUAUUUCACUGGGGAAAGAAAACAUGACUGAAAGUCCAGAGUGUUAGCUUAGAGCUCAAAAUACUAGCUGCUGUUUCAAGCUGGCCCCAGACAUUAAAC